rnacentral:rRNA from 1 species
GACGAACGCUGGCGGCGUGCUUAACACAUGCAAGUCGAACGGAAGGACCCUGCGUUUGUGGGGUGCUCGAGUGGCGAACGGGGGAGUAACACGUGAGUAAACUGCCCUUGACUUUGUGGUAACAUCAGGGAACUGGGGCUCAUACCGGAUAGGAGCUCCUGCUGCAUGGGGGGGAUUGGAAAGUGUCGGCGGUUGGGGAUGGACUGGCGGGUUAUCAGCUUGUUGGUGGGGUAGGGACUUACCAGGGCUUCGACGGAUAGCCGGCCUGAGAGGGUGACCGGGGUCAUGGGGCCUGCGAUAGGGCGCAGAAUGCAACCGGAGGCAGCAGGGGGGAAUCUUGCACAAUGGCGGGAAGUCUGAGGUAGCAACGCUGGGUGCGGGAUGCUGUGUUUUGGGUUGUAAACAGCUUUGGACUUUGCCGAAGCGUGCGUGACGGUAAUGGGUAAAGAAGCCACGGCUAACUACGUG